CGGGUUCUCUCACACCGGGCAGACGCUGUCUGAGAGGAGCGCGAUGCUGGCGAAGCUGGCAAGGGUGGUGGUUCUGCCGAGAACCCGCCUCCUGUCCGGCCGGGGCGGCGGGAGGGGGCUGUGGACCGGCCGCCCGCAGUCAGAUACUGACAAUAUGAAACCAUUGGAAGGUGUUAAAAUUCUGGACCUGACAAGAGUACUGGCGGGACCUUUUGCUACUAUGAAUUUGGGAGAUCUUGGAGCUGAAGUUAUAAAAGUGGAACGACCAGGAGCUGGUGAUGAUACACGAACAUGGGGGCCACCUUUUGUGGGAACAGAAAGUACAUAUUUUCUCAGUGUUAAUCGAAAUAAGAAAAGUAUAGCUGUUAAUAUCAAGGAUCCAAAAGGGGUGAAAAUCAUCAAAGAGCUUGCAGCUGUUUGUGAUGUCUUUGUGGAAAACUAUGUCCCUGGCAAACUGUCUGCAAUGGGCCUGGGUUAUGAAGCUAUAGACAAGAUUGCUCCUCACAUCAUCUACUGUUCCAUCACAGGGUUUGGCCAGACGGGCCCAAUGUCUCAACGAGCUGGUUACGAUGCUGUUGCCUCUGCUGUUUCUGGUUUGAUGCACAUCACAGGGCCAGAGGAUGGAGCUCCAGUUCGUCCAGGAGUAGCCAUGACUGACCUUGCCACUGGCCUGUAUGCAUAUGGAGCCAUUAUGGCUGGUUUGAUACAAAGAUAUAAAACUGGAAAAGGCAUGUUCAUUGAUUGUAACCUACUAUCAACUCAGGUGGCAUGUUUGACCCAUGUAGCUGCCAAUUACCUUAUUAGCCAAAAGGAAGCAAAACGCUGGGGCACAGCUCAUGGAAGUAUUGUUCCUUACCAGGCUUUUAAAACCAAAGAUGGCUAUCUUAUAGUUGGAGCCGGAAAUAACCAACAGUUCACCACUGUGUGCAAGAUCCUGAGUUUACCUGAGUUGAUUGAUGAUUCCAAGUAUAAAACUAACCGCCUUCGGGUACAGAAUAGAAAAGAGCUCAUUAAAACGCUUUCUACACGGUUUGAAGAAGAAAUGACCAGCAAGUGGUUACAGCUCUUUGAAGGCAGUGGGGUCCCAUAUGGUCCAAUCAACAACAUGAAGGAUGUAUUUGCAGAACCCCAGGUGCUACAUAAUGGCCUCAUCAUGGAGAUGAAGCAUCCAACUGUGGGGAAGAUUUCAGUUCCAGAUUUUGCUCUUGGAAAUCAACCAUCCUGCUAGAAGUCUGACCACUGGACUCUGAGGAAGUCCAAACUAAUCAUGUGCAGAGACAAAGGCACUACUUGGAGGAACAACAACACAGCAGGCGUGAAGGAAGUUCUCCUGGAUCUCCAAACUACGUCAGUCACCAAGACACUACAAGGGAAUCUCUGCUUUGAAGAGGAGCUGAGUAUAAUUGAGGCUGAAGUGUUGAGCAGGAGAGGGAUUGCAGGUCCUAGAAAAUUGAUCGGCUCGUGAUUGCAGACUCAGCAGAACCCAGAAUAUCCAGUGACAACCUCUCCUGUUUCAAAACCUGCUGAUCUGGAUGCUAUAAGUUCUUCUCCACAACAUGGCGCCUUUGAGAGGGAACUGAGGACAUGAAAAAGGGGAUAAGUACAUGUGCAAAGCAUUAGUCAACAUUCCAAAUUGUGUCCAAUUGUUCUGACAAGGUUAAAGUGAGCACUGAAAACCUUACCAACAAGCUGCCCAUUGGAAAAACUUACCUCGCCAAAGGAAAUGAUAUUUCAAAGAAUUGAAUGGAAAAAGAAUAUUUAAAUGUCAUGAGAUAGAAUGUAAGUCUAGAUGAUGACUUUUUCUUGGCCCUAAUUGUCAACUCUGUAGAACUAAACAAGUUCCACCUAGAAGAUAUGCAAUGGGAAGGGCAGCUGGCAACAAAAGUUUUGCAUGGGUUUGUUGAUUUUACUCCACUAUCAGGAUAUGGCCAGGCUCCUGGGUCCACCAGUUCCAUGUCCACAGACACUAUUUUAACCCACACCCUGCUUAUUUCCUCUCCUUCUUGCCCUUCUAUUACUCUUGUCCUUUCUUCCAAAAGCAGUUUUGGAAAGUCUACUCAGCUUUUUUGGAAUGUAGUCAGGUACAUACUGAUUGCUUCCUUACUCUGAGGUAUUUCUUUACUUACAUCUGACUUAAUUUUGCCAUUAACAGAAUUAUUGAGGACCUUGUGUUUUUUUGGCUUUGGAUGUACAGAAAGGAUUAGGAAAAGGUACACAGCAUCAAGAAAUUUGAAACUGAAAUGGGGAGGAAAGAUACUUACAUAAACUUGAUGCAAAUAACUCAUGCUUCUAUAUAUGAAAUGCCAGGUCACAGAUGGGAAACCUCUGCAAUCCAUUGUGUUCAGCAAAGCAAUUAUGUGGGAAAGGAACCUUUAUCAUCAAAGAAAAAUGAUAGAUAUAUGAUGAAAAAAGGAGGAGUAUUACAUGAAAAUAUGAGCAAGGGUGGAGGCAGAAGUGCCACUGGCACAUUUGGACAUAGAACUUGUAAGGAGCCCAAAGAAACAACUGUCAUUAUCUGACUAUGAGACAGUAAGGACCAAGACCAGGGACAGAAGCCUAGUAUGUCGCUUUAUAAAUUUCAUUCUAUAUAUCUAUGAUGUAGUAGGCUAACUGGGUUACAUAUGCCUGCUAAGCCAGAGGUUCCUCCAGACAGCUCAAGUUUUAUAGCAUGUCAUGUCCUUCUUGCUUAGACAGUGCUUGAGGAUUAAGUAACUAUUGUGAGUUACAGUUGUUGCUGAUAGCACUCUGUCAAUUUUUGUCAGGCUUAGCUUCUCCAGAUGAGUUAUAAACUUAUGGUAUCAAAAUUGGCAUGUAAGAAUUUAUAAUACACAUAUUUUCUAUAGGGCCAAAAUUACACAACCACUUAGACCACAUUAAGCAUGUUCAAGUGGUGAAUCCUAAGAAUUGUUUUAGAAAAUGGACCAGGAGCCUGAAAGGCUACUAUCACAUUUGUAGAACUCUAGAAACUUACCACCUAAUCAGGCUUCAAGAUUCACCCUUCUUUGGAAGAAUGUAUAACUUACAAGGUCAUGGCAGUGGUUAUGGUUAGCACAUGGGAGAAUUGUCACUAGGUCUGAAAACUCUGAGACCAUCUGUCUGCCUGCUUCAUGGAAAGGAUCAGGCUCUGCAACAGAGUUAGGCUGGGCGCAUAUGCCAAUCUGCAGAACGGCACUGCAGUUAAUUAUGGGAUUCUCUCUGGUCAGUUUAGUCAUGGCCAAUUAAAAUGGCUGUAGCAAUCUCCUUGGGCUCUGAAUUGUAGCUUGUCUGGUUCUACUAUUUAAAACUUUGCUGCUUAUGUGUUUUAUUUUCUGAGAUAGCUUGGAUAUUUCUUAAGGGUAGAGUUAGCAUCUUACAUUUCUUUCAUGUAUGCUGAGCAUCUGCUACAAAAUAGAAAAUGAGUUCAUGCUCAUUAAGGAGUUUUUGGGUUAAGAAAAUUCACCAACUCAGAAAUCUGGAGGACCACAUAGUUUUUCAAAUUCACCCUUCAAUGGUAAUGAUGCACUUCUGGUUUUGGUAUGAAAGUCUUGAGGACAUAAUAUAGAUGGCUCCAUAUUGCUUCAAUUUAAAAAGUAGCAUAAAGACACAAUAUAAGUGGUAUAUCACUCAGUUAUUUAGUCUUUCUCGUGGUGUUUACGAAGCCAUAUUUUGCAUCCUACGCCAAUUCCUGUGACCGAUCAUUUUACCUUCCUCUCCCCAACACAGAGAGAGUCCCAGAAUCCAUCUUAAGCAUCACUGUAGGUAGCUAUCAGAAGCAUACAAAGGGAAAUAUUUUGGUCAUUUCAAGGUCUUUUAAAAAGUAACCAAUUUCAUCUUUAGAGAAUUUUCUCUAAUACUAUAAGGGCACCAUGAUGUACAUCAUACUAGUGAAAGCUUAUCUUAUAAAAUACAUAAAAUAAUAUAUAAAAUGAUCUUCUUUCACAUCCAUUUCUUUUCCAAAAUGAGUCUGUACCAGUCAUGGUGAUCCUGCUCAGCUUGUAAUGAUUAUUUUAGAACGGGUAUGUGACCUAAUUCUGGUCCAAGAGAUGAAGUCUAACAUAAAGCCUCUGGGAAAAUUUGCCUUAUCUUUUCACAAAAUGUUUACUUAUUUAUUUGAAAGGUAUAGUGUCACAAAAGAGAGAGGAAGGGAGAGAGGUAGGAAGAGAGAAAGGAAGAGAGAUCUUGCCUCUGUUGGUUCAAUCCUCAUAUGCCAGAGUUGCACCCAGAAUCCAGGAGCUCCUUCCUUGGCUCCCAAGUAUCUGAGCCUUCAAUGCUGUCUUGAGGAAUACACAUUAGCAGGAAGCUGGGUCAGAAGCAGAGGUGGGACCCAGGCAUCCCAAGUGGUGGCUUUCCCUGCUUUAUCACAAUGCCAAUCCAUGUCUUAUACUUUCUCACUAAAUAUGAGCAAGAAAUUAAUACCAUAGGUGACAUAAUGUUGCCUAUGAGUAGCCAUGAUAGAACCAAGAGAGGAAACUGUUUUUGGAUGAAAUCAAUCCAAGAAUAGCAUACAAGAGACACAAAGAACCUGUCAUUGACUACCCUUUGAGUUGUCAAUCAUUCUGCUACAAGCCUGGUCUUCUGGAUUCCGAUUCAUAUGAAACACACAUUUACUUACUGUUUUAGCCACAUUGAGUUACUUUAUUUUGUUGUUUGCAACCGCAAUACCUCUGGGAAGGAGAAUAUCCCAACUUGGCAGAGAUCACCCCAAUUAAUCCUCAUAAUAACUGCAAGGCUGACACUGUUUUAUCCUCAUUUCUCAGGUGGCCAGAUUGAGAAUUCAACUGAUUAAGUAACUUUUCUAAGGUCGUAGAGCACAUGUGUGCUGGAACUGUCAUUUGUGCUUUGUAAGUCUGAAUCCAGAAUCCACAUUCUUAAACAUUGCUCUUAAAACCACACUCUUAAAGCUGUCAAUUCUUCCAUGGAAAGAAUACAAGAUCACAAUAGGAAAUACAUAGGCUGAGCAUGUUAAAGUUUUUACAAAAUCUUUUUUAACUCAUUAAAGUAAAGGGGAUUAUGUGUGUAUAACAAGUCAAGACAUGACUAAGGUGCUAAACUACCCAUGACUUAAAAGUUUAUGUAUAAGAAGUGUUCCACUUGGUUUCUUUCCUGAUAGCAGCCUGGACCUAUAUUUUAGAUAGAAGGAAAGACCCACUACCCCAAGUCAGAAAUGCUCCUUUACAUUCCACCUGGGAUUGUCUCAGCACAUGGAAAGUGAGAUUGGCACAUGGGGACGAGAAAGCCCUGUGGAGUGGGUUUGUGAAUCCCCUCACUGAAUGGAUGUGUAUGUGCAUGUCCUUCUCAGAGCUGCCACACUUGACAAAAGCUGCUCAGUACCGCGGUUCUCUGUGAACAGUCACUGUGCAACCAGCACUCCUGGGGGGACCUGUGCAGCCUGGAGCUGCUCCAGGCUUCUACAUCGUCAGCCUUCUAAUUUCCCCUGGGAUCAGCCAUUCCUUUCUUUGACAGUACCUUUCUGUAGAAUUCAUAAAAGCCUUUCCCUUCUUCAAUAUACAGAAGAAGAAUCCUCCCCCACCCCAGAUCCCUGGACAAAACUCAAAAACACUUCAAAUUGAAGUCUACGUAUGGUUUAUUGAAGGAAUAGCUUUCUUUUGUGUAGUGAUCACUUAAACUUUUUUGAAAUUUCCUUUAGCUAAGGGAUCUACUCAAAGUUUCUCAUGAAAUAUGGCAUGUAAUCAAAAUGUUAAAUUAUAUUUAGAUAAAAUAUAAUAAACAGCUUAGCAGAAGCUUCUUAAAAAUAUUCUUCAUAUUAUGCUCAGUCUCUACCUGCAUGUGUUUCCUGGAAAUGACCUGUGAUUUCGAGGUUCAACAUUGGUUAUUUACCCCCUAAUCAAAACCCCGUGGGUUCUGAGCACUCUGAUAGGAAAUUUUAGUGUUAUGAAAGCAAUCUUGCCAUAUUUUUUGGAUUUCAAUAAUGUAACACAGGGCAUUAAUGCAUAGUCACUGAACUGGGGUGUGUGUGUGAGUAAUGUUUUCCUUAACCUUUUCUUUUUACAAAAACCUUUUCUUUUUACAAAAAUGCUAAACAUUAGUCUCAUUCAAAAACUACAUCAUACAAACUUUUGAAACCAAAAUUACAGAGGCAUCUUCAGAGAAUGUAAGAGCUGAAGAAGUUUUUUAAAUCUUAAUUUGUACACACCGAUAAUUGAUGGCAAAUUUGGAGACCUGAUUUUGUAAUUUUUUUGGUUUUAGAAAAAAAGUCUACCUGAGUAAUUAGAUGCUUACUUCAUAUGAAGCUUCUUUGUUUUUACAUUUCUAGAAUAUCCUCAUCACAUCAAAUUGUUUCUGCACAUGUGCAUGUCAUAGAUUAUGAAAACACCUUCUGACAAAACCAGACGUGAUGAAAACACUGGGAUCUAAACGAAGCUCUGGUGUUCCACUGUUCUUUCAGAUAAAUUGUCAUUCUACUCGCAUCUAAUCCAUUUCAUUUUACAAGUAUUCUAUCUUCUGUGUAUCCCAAAUACUUUUUUCAUAGUCCCCAUGAUGGAAAACUAUUCUAUUUCUCCACCCUUUCUGGUAGAGACCACAUUCUAUCUUUAUUUAUUGUUUCUCCUUUUAAAAAUUCUUAUUUAUUUAUUUAUUUUAAAGCAGAGUGAUAGUGAGAGUGAGAGCAAGAGCAAGAGCAAGAACAAGAGAGAGACAGACCAUCCAUCUGCUGUUUCAGCCCCAAAAUGCUUGCGACAGCUGGUGCUGGGCCAGGUUGAAGCCAGGAGCCAGGAACUCUACCCAAGUAUCCCUUAUGGGGGCCAGGGACCCAAGUACUUCACCUGUUAUCUCUGCCUCUCAGGGUACCCAGCAGCAGGAAGCUGGAUAGGAAGCCUUGAUAAAAAUCAAACCCCGUUCCUCAGAUAGGGGAUGCAGACAUACCAAGUGCCAGCAACAAUGUCCACUUUUCCUUUUUUCUUCUUUUUUAAAUGGGGCAGAGUAAGCGUUGGGGUUGAAUUUUAGUUUCCACCAGUCCUUUCUAUGCCUCUGAUUUUUCCUUUGAUAUAGAACCUUAUCCUAGUUUCAUGUACAUCACCUUGUCUCAAGCCUCUCUGAGAACAUGAAUUAAGAAUUUUUCAGGCCGGCGUCACGGCUCAAUGGGCUAAUCCUCCUCCUGUGGCGCUGGCACACCAGGUUCUAGUCCGGUUGGGGCACCGGAUUCUGUCCCGGUUGCCCCUCUUCCAGGCCAGCUCUCUGCUGUGGUCCGGGAGUGCAGUGGAGGAUGGCCCAAGUGCUUGGGCCCUGCACCCCAUGGGAGACCAGGAGAAGCACCUGGCUCCUGGCUUCGGAUCAGCAUGGUGCCCCGGCCAUGGCGGCCAUUGGAGGGUGAACCAACGGAAAAGGAAGACCUUUCUCUCUGUCUCUCUCUCUCACUGUCCACUCUGCCUGUCCAAAAAAUAAAAAGAA